rnacentral:rRNA from 1 species
AGAGUUUGAUCCUGGCUCAGGAUGAACGCUGGCGGCGUGCUUAACACAUGCAAGUCGAACGAGGGUUACCGGUGAAAUUUCGAAUGGAAACGGGUAAUACCUAGUGGCGGACGGGUGAGUAACGCGUGGGGAACCUGCCCCAUUCCGGGGGAUACCAGUUGGAAACGACUGUUAAUACCGCAUAAGCGCACAGUACUGCAUGGUACGGUGUGAAAAAACCACGGUGGAAUGGGAUGGCCCCGCGUCUGAUUAGCCAGUUGGCAGGGUAACGGCCUACCAAAGCGACGAUCAGUAGCCGGCCUGAGAGGGCGACCGGCCACAUUGGGACUGAGACACGGCCCAAACUCCUACGGGAGGCAGCAGUGGGGAAUAUUGCACAAUGGGGGGAACCCUGAUGCAGCCGACGCCGCGUGAGUGAAGAAGUAUUUCGGUAUGUAAAGCUCUAUCAGCAGGGAAGAAGAUGACGGUACCUGCACAAGAAGCCCCGGCUAACUACGUGCCAGCCGCCGC